rnacentral:lncRNA from 1 species
AGACUCUUUAAAGUGCGUCAGAGGGAGGCGAACGCCUGGGAACCCGGAGGCCUGGAUCCGGGCCCAGAAUGGAACGGAGUCGGCGCUACUGCCCCGGCUGUGCCUCCAGCCGCCCGCCCGGCCGCCGACCUCUUGGUGUCUUCGCCCUGCGCUCCGGGCUAGCUCCCUCGCUCCUGCGGCGCCCGCUGCGGCUUCUCUCCUCCUCCUUCGCCUCCUCCGCUUCCCUCUUCUCCUCCUCUUCCUCGUUCCUCUCCUCCUCCUCUUCCUCCUCCUCCUCUUUCCCCCUCCUCCUCCCCCUCAGCCACCGCCUCCUACUGCACCCACACCACUCCCACCGGGGCACCCGGGUCCCUGCAGAGUCUCGGGGCUGCGCUGCCUUUGCUGCGGACCCCUGGAUCCUAAGCCUGCGGCGCUGGAGCUGAUGGGACUGAAUCACGGACGGACACGCAGAUUUCUUCACACCCUAAGCUCCGCUGCGGUUGUCCCCUGGAGGCCCGCGCCCGGGUCACUGAGAUGGCUUCGGGCGCCCGGCGAGGGUCGAAGCCAUUUAUCCUAAGAGGGAUAAAAUAUCUGUGCUUGGUGGCUAGGUUGCCUGAGACCCGGGAGAAGCAGAUCUGGAGAAGACAGACGUGAAGUCCUCUAGAGGGACUAUGAAAGCCACCUGAUUCCACCAAGGGUCUGGGUCUUAGGAGAGCCAAUGAGGCAGCUUGUUAGCACUCAGUAUGUGCCCAGCUCUGAAUGGAAUUACUGAUAUGGACAAUGGUACCUCAGGGUGAUGAGGCCCUCAAGAAGAAUGAAAGAUAUAAACCAAACACUGAAGAAAGGAAGCCACAGUGUGGCCCAAAACUAACAAGUUGUUGUACAGCUUACAACCAUCUACCACUCACCUGCUCAUCGGGACCUCAAGCAUCCUUGGCAGAUUUCCCUAUGCUGAGAAGGGAUAUCCUAACGAUCCCUUACUAACUUGAACAUGUCUCCAUAAGCACUGUUUCCAAGCCAGGACUCGUCCAUCAGCACAGCCCCGUGGGAGGUGUGAAUAAAGGCGUCUUCGGAGAAGUGCAAAUAUGUUUUCAUCGUCACACAGGACCUAAGCUGAUCCAAUGGAGGUGAGCUGCGAACGUUACAGCUUCAGGAGUAACCUCCAGCGACUCUUUUCAUUUCCAAUCAGAUCGUCUCCAGGGCCUGUGACACGCCAUGCUCUAAAUGCUACAUAGGCCUUAUCUCUUUUCUUCUCCCAACAACCUUUUGAUAGAGGAAGUCCUUUCUAAUCUACCCAGAGGGAAUCUGAGUCUAAGUUCGGUUCACUUAUUGUGUGUGUGUGUGUGUGUGUGUGUUUCUCACAAGACUGCCUCUGGGUGGGACAAGCACUCUUCUGUUCCCAUGGUGCCAUGGUCCCUUAUUACUAUAGUUGUACUUGCUUCAAAGAUAGGGAACCACUUCAUAAAAUAGCUGCACUGAGAUAUCCACAUAUUGUAUCAGUUAUGCAUUUAAAGUUUGUGUAAAAACCUUCAAUUGUCAGCUUAACUGGAUUUGUAUUCUUUAGGAGACAUACUUCUGGGUGUGUCUGUGAGGAUGUUCCAGAGAGGUUUAACUGGGUAUGGAAGGUGUGCUCCGAAUAUGGGUGGCACCAUUCCAUAAACUAGUGUCCUAGACUGGAUGAAAAGGAAGAAGGAGGAAGCUGCCUGAGCCAUCGUUCGUCUCUGUUGUCUGAAUAUGUGAGCAGUGGCCUCAUUCCUCCCCAUAUAUUUUCUGAUGUGACAGACUGUGUCCCUCCAAACUGAGAGCCACACAAUAGCCUGUAUCCCUUCAAACUGUGAGCCAUGUAACAGAUUGUAUCCCUUCAAACUGUGAGCCAUGUGACAGAUUGUAUUCCUUCAAACUGUGAGCCAAGCAAACCAGUCUUCCUUCCUUGUGUUGCCAGGUGUUUUCCCUCAGUAAUGAAAAAAAAAAUAACACAAGGUGAAAGUCAGUGGUUAACAUACAUGGAUGCAUGCAACCUUCACCACAGCCAACCCAUGAACGUGCCCAUCACCUUAAGGGAAAGUCAGUGCCCCAUAAUGAUCAUUUCCCUCUGCUCCCUCCAUCAACCCAAAGCAACCACUAAUCUUUUUUUUUUCUUUUUAUCUUUAUGGAAUUUCCUAUUCUAUACAUUCCAUGUAAACAAAAGCACACAUAUGACUUUUUGUGUCUGCCCUCUUCCAAUCUCAUAAACAUUGUAGAAUGUAUCCAUACAUUACUGGGUAAAUAACAUUUCACUGUAUGGAUAAGCCACAUUAGGAAUGAUGUUUCAGAAAACAAUUCUCUUGAAAUACAGAAUGUCUUUACUCAACAAAUGAUGUGUGAUUAACAGAAACCUGUUAAGGAAUGUGAUUUGAGGCCCAUAAAUGCUUCAUUCCUCGGGUCCCUAGCAGUGCUGGGUUGUUUUUUUGGUUUUUUGUUUUUGUUUGUUUGCUUGUUUUUUGCUUUUAUCAAGAAGCUGUGGUGGACUUUAAUAAAAUUUUGUUAGUAAACUUUUCUACUUUUGUUGAUAUGAGGUGGAAAUCCAGAAUAUUAACAGGACUGAAGAAUCUUUCCAGGACUCCUCAGAAAUAGGAACUAAGGAGAGAUCUAAGUAAGUAAAUGCCUAGCAAUGAAUCUCCAGAGCUCACACACACUUGUAAUUCUAGCCCUGGGAAGGCAGAGGUAGGCCAAUCUCUGGGCUCACUCCACAGAAAGUUUCCAAGUUCCAGGCCAAUGAGAAGCCAUAUCUCAAACAACAACAAAAAGUCAGAUGGAGCCUGAAGUACUACACCUGCAUAAAUCUAUACACAAAAAAGCAGCAGAAACAGAGAGGAGCAGCUGGGGCAACCAAUCCAGGAGCUGAAAGGCAAGUUCUAGACUCUAACUUUUCUCUUAGACUCAACAAACAGACUCACUAAACAGGGAAUUGAAAAUGUCCUUAAGGGGCUGGAGAGAUGGCUUAGUGGUCAAGAGCAUUGACUGCUCUUCCAGAGGUCCUGAAUUCAAAUCCCAGCAACCACAUGGUGGCUCACAACCAGCUGUACUGAGAUCUGAUUCCUUCGUCUGGUGUGUCUGAAGACAGCUACAAAAGGAAGGAAGGAAGGAAGGAAGGAAGGAAGGAAGGAAGGAAGGAAGGAAGGAAGGAAGGAAGGAAGGAAGGAAGGAAGGAAGGAAGGGAAAAGAAAGGAAAUACCCUUAAUAUCAAACUAUGAUAGCCUACCAUCAAAAUAUGCCAUGUUUCAGACCCACCCUCAGUUCCUGGGGCCAGAGCCCUGGAUCAAGGUUUGUUUGUUUUACGGAAAGGUUAUUUUCAGUUAAUCAGGCAUUCAAUAGAGCUGAAGAACUACUCCCUUCCUGCCCCACUAGACCCAUCUUGAGCUGAGAAGCAGCCUAGGGAACCAGAAGAAGGGGAUUAUAGAGGGAAUUCUUGACCUAUUUACCCCUCUCCAGAGUGAAACAUUCAGUUAGAAGACACUCACAUGCUGACUUUGAUUCAUUAGUUAAGGCUGUCUAGAAGGUUGUGCUAAGUAGAUUUUGAUCUGGGAUCAAUUAGCCAUGUCUGCACUGUGCAAAGGAGCAGGGUACCCCAUCUCCUCACACACGGCCACUCUGGACAGUACUCUCCAAAGGUCUCUUGGGCUUAGACAUCCUGCAAUCUUAUAAUUUCUCUUACCUUUGUUCUUUUCCUUGUCUUCUCUGAGAAUCUAUUUUGAAGCCGUUUCCAUCCACCAGUGACAGUGGCCUACAGUGGACUGUAUGUACCUAGAGGCAUGUAAGAGUGAGUCUGUGACAUGUAAAUUGGAGACAGCCCAGGCUAGAGGAGGCUAGCUAUCCUAGAGAUGAGAAGUCACUAUGAAAGGCUAGUCAACAUAGAACUGAAUCUCACAGAAUAAAGCAGCUAACAUGGGUAAAGCGAUCACAUCAAGCUAUUCACCAUGAGACAAACACAUGCUAUUGCCUUCAUCUGCCUAGAUAGAUCAUGAAGGGUUGAGAAAGUAAACUCUGUCUUUAAUAAAAACAAAAACAAAGGCUUUCAUAAACCAAUAAGGCACUUGUUGUGUAAGCACAAGAACCUAUGUUGGAGCCUUAAAACUCACAUAAAAAAUGUCAGGUGUGGUAGCAUGUGGUAGCAUGAAUCCCAGUGCCGAGGAGACAAAGACAAACAGAUCCCUGGAGUAUGCUGGCCAGCUUGCCUAGUCAAAUCGGCGAGUUCAACACUAAGUAAGAGACUCUAUUUCAAAAACAAGGAGGCAAGCACCCGAGGAAGGAUACCAGAAGUUGAUCUCUGGCCUCUACAUGUGCACAGAUACAUACACCAACAUGUGAACAUACCUGUGCAUACACACAUUUGCACUAAAAAAAAAAGUGUCAAGAAAGACCUGGGAUGUAGCACAGUGGUUGGAAGAAUAGGAAAAGCAAAGAGAAUUUCAAGCGAAGGCAGACUGGGCAGGUAUAGUGCCUCUGUCAGUGACUAAGAGGCUUAUCUAGUUUCUCGCUUGAGAGGUCCUUGAGACCCUGUGAUGUCCCUGUCCUAGGGGUUUGGGGAGUACCUGGCACUAAGUGAUCCUACUUCCUCAAAACAGCCCAGCAUCCCAGCGUUCUUCACUCUGAGUACUCGGGGGCACCAGCCUGGGCCUGUGGAUUGUUCAGAAACGGGCCCUCCCAUCAGCAGGGCAGCGGCUUGCUCUCUUACCACAGAGGCUCUGCACUCACCAGUUCCAAUAACACGAUUAGUCAUUUUUCAUUCCUGAGAUAUCUGCCCAUGGGUGGGUGCGUGUGUGCAUGUGUGAGGGUGUCUGUGCCUUUCGUGGAAGGGAAAAUCCAUAUUCUCUCUCUUCUGCCCGAAUUAAUCAAAUAAAUCUUCGGUAAGAAGCUGCUAAAUGAGUCACAGAUGGCUCUGCCCUUUUACAGGUUACAGAAAGCACCCGUUACAGUCUUUUUAAUUUAUCAGAGGAAAAAAGAUGCCCUCCUGUGCCCCUUCCCUCUCACAGUAAUAAUCAGAAACAGCCUAUUUUCCGAGGGUCCGAGACUCAUUUUCAAAAAAAAAAAAUGUGUAUCAAUAGAUGUAACAGUGGGAAGACUAUUUUGCCAAGUUCCAGCCUCCAGCACGGCAAAGGUGCCCUGGCUGGGGAGAGCAUUUAUAAAACCACAUUUAAUAAAAGAGAGUGUUAUAUUACUAAAUGAAGAGGGAACUGCAGGCUAAAGGGGAUGAGGAAGAUGGCAGGAAGUUGUAGUCAUUGUCCCUAGGAGGGAAGAGACACCUCCCUCUUGCUUUCUUCUUUAUAGUGUCCAAAUCCUCUGCUGUAAGCAGACACUGAGCUCACAACCUGGUCUCUGAAUGCUUUUACUCUCUCCUGGCAGAUUGUAUCAGAAUCUGAAUUAUUGAAAGAGCCAACAGGGAGGCCACAAAAUGACCCUCAAGGAGAUCCUAGAGCUAAACUACCCCAUCCUCUUGCUCAGCAGAGGGGUGUCUCAUCAUCACUGUAAGAAAAGCCAGGUUGGUGAUGAGGGGCAGAGAAGGACUAAAGAAGAACUUAAGAAGGCAAGAAGAAGAGACAGAACUGAGCUCCCUUUGAGCCUUGCCCCAUUGGUCAGCUACUAA